rnacentral:misc_RNA from 1 species
GAUGAAGAACGCAGCGAAAUGCGAUACGUAAUGUGAAUUGCAAAUUCAGUGAAUCAUCGAGUCUUUGAACGCAGAUUGCGCCCCCUGGUAUUCCGGGGGGCAUGCCUGUCCGAGCGUCAUUGCUGCCCUCAAGCACGGCUUGUGUGUUGGGCCCCGUCCUCCGAUCCCGGGGGACGGGCCCGAAAGGCAGCGGCGGCACCGCGUCCGGUCCUCGAGCGUAUGGGGCUUUGUCACCCGCUCUGUAGGCCCGGCCGGCGCUUGCCGAUCAACCCAAAUUUUUAUCCAGGUUGACCUCGGAUCAGGUAGGGAUACCCGCUGAACUUAAGCAUAUCAAUAAGCGGAGGA